rnacentral:rRNA from 1 species
UACGAAGGGGGCUAGCGUUGCUCGGAAUCACUGGGCGUAAAGCGCACGUAGGCGGAUCUUUAAGUCAGGGGUGAAAUCCUGGAGCUCAACUCCAGAACUGCCUUUGAUACUGGGGAUCUCGAGUCCGGGAGAGGUGAGUGGAACUGCGAGUGUAGAGGUGAAAUUCGUAGAUAUUCGCAAGAACACCAGUGGCGAAGGCGGCUCACUGGCCCGGUACUGACGCUGAGGUGCGAAAGCGUGGGGAGCAACAGGG